GAAGUAAAAGCGUAACAAGGUUUCCGUAUGUGAACCUGCGGAAGGAUCAUUAUUGUAUAACCGAGGUGCGAGGGCUGUCGCUGACCCGAAAGGUCGUGCACGCCCGAGUGCCCUCACACACAUCCAUCUCACCCCUAUGUGCACCACCGCGUGGGUCCCCCUUUGGCUUGUUCGGAGGGGGGCUUACGUUUUCACACAAACUUUGUAUGCAGUGUAGAAUGUAUUUUUUGUUUUUGCGAUCACGCAAUCAAUACAACUUUCAACAACGGAUCUCUUGGCUCUC
rnacentral:misc_RNA from 1 species